rnacentral:lncRNA from 1 species
UAGAAUUUCAAUGCCUUUGAGUGAUACCUUUUUAGAAACUGUUUUCUUAAAUCUUCCUAAUGAUCAAAUAAAAAAUGGGUGUCUUUCGCCUCAUUUUUUCGUAAAAUCCAAUCACAAAGUUCGUGCGAUAAAAAGUUGGAAAAAAACAUUACAAUAAUUGCCGGACCAAUGUAUGGUAUGGACAUGCAAAUACGGACUGUCAUACAGAAAACAGCCUAUAUUACAUACAUUACAUAACCUUGAUGUUCAUAUAAACCCAAUACAAAGGCUAUUUUAAUACUCAGCUAUCCAAAAAUGAAUUUUAUUGCACACUAGCUCUCAUAUUUGAAAAAUCCACAGGGGCCAAAAUGCGAAACUACACACCUAACUGUGGAGUGCUACCUUAAGGUGAAAUUUUUUCCCCUUCUGCCUCAACAUUUUUCUGUGUUCUACUAGUUGUUACGAUGAAAAUGGUACCUUAGUUUUUAAAAUUGGUUCAGUAAUAAAGAUUUUAUGAAGGUUAGCAGUUGGUGUUGAAACGCGACAAAAAGUGAUUUAAAAAUAAAUGCUGGAUCAUAGUGAAAAAC